GGUUUCAUAAGCAUCGACUGUGGAUAUACUGCAAACCAGACCUACACAGAUAGCAGGACAGGCAUAUCAUAUGCAAGCGAUGAGGGUUACACUGAUGCAGGACUGAUCCACCCUGUUGAUAAAGGUAAUCUGCAGACUGACCUUGCAGACCGAUACCUUAACCUUCGCUUCUUUCCCAGUGGAGAGCGUAACUGCUACACGCUGCGGUCCCUAACACCGGGUGGCAAGUACCUUGUCAGGGCUGCAUUUGGCUAUGGUGACUAUGAUAAACUAAACAAAAAUCCUACCUUUGAUCUCUAUUUUGGGGUCAAUUACUGGACAACAGUGACCAUUGUCAGUUCCAGUACAGCAUAUGUGUUUGAGAUAAUUGCCGUGUGCCCUGCCGACUUCCUACAAAUUUGCUUGGUGAAUAAAGGAUCGGGAACUCCUUUCAUCUCAGGGCUUGACUUGAGGUCACUGACAUCAGAUCUUUAUCUGGAGGCCAAUGUGACACAGUCUCUGGUUUUGCUCAGCUUUUUCCGUGAUACAGUUGGUUUUGGGCCCAACCGCUAUCACUUUGGGACAAACUAUCAGCACAUUAGGUUCCCAGAUGACCCCUAUGACCGUAUGUGGCAGAGGUAUGAAAACGUAGACGGCUGGACAGACGUACCCAACAAAUCCAACGGGGAAAUAAAAAACUCCACAAACGACAACUAUGAUGCACCAUCUGCAGUGAUGCGUAGUGCAUCCAUUCCAGUGAAUGACUCAAGGAUGGACUUAUCGUGGAGUUCAGAUUCUUCCAUGAAUGUUGGUGUUGACCCCAAGUUCUUUCUUGUACUCUACUUUGCCGAGUUGGAAGCAGUCCAAGAGUUAAGGCAAUUUGAUGUCUCUGUGGAUAACAACCCAUUAGCUUCUGCAUUCAGCCCAAAAUUCUUGCUGCCUACUGUUCUCUCAGGGAUUGUGCAAGGCUCAAACGAGCAUAGCAUCUCCCUUGUGGCAACAUCAAACUCGGCGCUUCAGCCUUUGAUCAGCGCGAUGGAGAUAUACAUGCUGCGGCCAGUGAAUGAAUCUACCACUGACUCUUUAGAUGCCAACGCUAUGAUGACCAUCCAGGAGAAGUUCUCUGUGAAAAAAAAUUGGGUGGGUGAUCCAUGUGCCCCUAUAUCUUUUGCAUGGAAUGGCUUGAACUGUAGUUAUACUCCCAACAGUCCUAGAAUAACAGCCUUAAACAUGUCAUCCAGUGGAUUGGUUGGUGAAAUUGAUGCUUCUUUUGGUCAGCUAACACUGCUCCAACACUUGGAUCUAUCUCACAACAGUCUGUCUGGAUCAAUACCUGAUUUUCUUGGUCAAGUGCCAGCACUUAAAUCUCUGGACUUGUCGAGCAACAACCUCAGUGGAUCAAUUCCUUGGAGUCUGCUAGAAAAAACUCAGCGUGGGCUUUUGACAUUAAGGGUCGACGAUAACCCAGGUCUUUGUGGAAAUAAUACAUGCAAUCCGAUUCAGAAAAAGAGGAGGAACAAGACAAAACUACUUCAGAUUGUUAUUUCAGUAGUUGUUUCAGUAUCACUACUAGUUCUGGCUGUAUUUUUGCUUGUCAUUUGA
rnacentral:rRNA from 1 species